UGGCAUUACACGCCUCCGACUUUUGGCAGAACGCGAAGGAAGCGACAACGGUUUAAAAUGUUAGCCAGACUGAUUGGGACGAAAUACGCUGCUCUGGCCAAAGCAUGGGCUCCGACUCUAGCUGGCUGGAGUGCCGUAGGGGCGCUGGGAGUGAUCCAUUUCACAGACUGGCGUCUUAUUCUGGAUUACGUGCCCUACAUUAAUGGCAAAUUCAAGAAGGACGACUAGUUUGGCUACUGUCUGAAAAUGUGACUACUGGGCAGCCGAAUUGAAAAAGAUGAUGGAUAACAAUGAAAACUUGAAUAGGCUAUUAAAGGCUUCACUCCUCUGGGAAGGCUUUCCACAGGACUUUGAGUUUCUGUGGGAAUUCGGCGCCCAUUCAAAAGAGCAUUUGUGAAUCAGGCACUGAAGUUAAGAAGACCUGACUCUGAAUGUUCUAGUUCACCCCAAAUAUUUUCAGUGUGACUGAGGUCGGAGCUCUUUGCAGGCCACUACAGUUCCUCCACAUGAAACUGGAUAAGCCAUAUCUUUAGAAACCUCUUUUUAUGCAGUUUUGCUAAAACAGAGCAUGUAUUUAUGUAUGCAUGAAGAAUUAACAUUACUCUUCAGUGUAACUAAGGCGAAUAGCCCAAACCCUGAAAAACAGCCCCAGACCAUUAUCCCUGCUCCAUCACACUUUACUGUUGGAAGUGUUACCUGGCAACUGGCAAACCCACAUUUGUCUGUCAGACUGCCACACGGUGAAGUAUGAUUCACCCCACACAUUUCCAUUGUACCAGAGGCUAUUGGUGGUGUGCUUUACUCUGGUGUUUUUCAGCCCAAUCCUUGAGGCCCACCAGACGGUUCCACGUUUUUGCUCUAACCUGAUUUGUUGGGAACUUUGACAGAGCAAAACUGGAAGUGUCAGGUGGACCCUGAGGACUGAGCUGAGAAACACUGCUUCACAUUACUCUAGACAUGAAAUGGUGUACAGUGAUCCCAGGCUUGUGAGCAGUUGUUCGCACAUGGAAUCCCAUUUCAUGAAAUUCCCGACGCUCAGUUCCUGUACUGAUGUUGCCUUCAGAGGCAUUUUGGAACUCUGUACUGAGGGAUGCAACAGUGGAUGGGUGAUUUUGAUACACUACGCUCUUUAAGCACUUGGCAGCCACUGACUUGUGCCAAAGACAGCAUCCUAUAACUGCUGUUGUGUUUAACGUCAACCCAUUCUAAUGGCAGUGUUCUGCAUGGCCAGGUGCUUGGUUUUAUACACCUCAACUCAAUCAUUUGGAGGAACGUCCACAUACUUUCAAACAUAUAUUUGCUUGCACAGCUGAUGAAGAACCUCUCCAAAAUGUUCGUUUCUCUGGAAACCUGGUUUAGUUCACUGCAUUGUUAACAAUCUCUACAUCUUUAACUACAGUAUGCUACAGUUCACCUGGAAUCUUCUUUAUAUAUAUAGGACAUAUCUUAAUAUCUCUCUAUUAUAAUUUAUUAUUUUUAAACUACACAAUGUUUCAUCACAUUAUUGGCUUGGUUUUGGUCACAUGAUUUACAACAACAGCACAAAAAAUUAUAAGUAAUGCAAUUUUCUUCUUUUCAUUGUUUGAAUAGAUUAUAAGGGGUUUACUUUUGCAUCCCAAGCUGCAACAAGUGAUGCAAGUAAAAGCUGAACUGUUACAGCAUUUUGCUUGUUUUUUUUAGGCUUGCAUUGUGUGUACGGCUGCCUGAUGCAGUGCCUGUCUGUCUGCACAGAGCUGGAACCUGGGAAUGGGCGUCUAGAUGGAGAGAGGAAAGCUUUGUCUAAACCUGCGGGAUGUGCAGUAUAUUUGAUUGAAUGCAGUUUCAUUUGUUACUGAGGUGAAUAAAUAUUUAUUUUUAAUAACCCUGUGACCUAAGAAGUUGUGGCAGAUUGAUUGUUUUAAUGUAAACUGUUUGAGCAUAAAACCCUCCCCCACAACCUCCAGACAAAUGUGGUAUUUUACUCUAUAACAAAUAUAGAACAUUAGGGCUUGGGGGGGGGGCACCUAGAAGAAACUGGGUUUAAGCUGUAUAUGAAUCCAAUAAAAUGAUGCAAAGUUUAG